rnacentral:rRNA from 1 species
AGAGUGAACUAGCUAACUGAAAUCACAGGAUCCAUUACGUGUGGUGAAUGUAAUAACGUAAGGGAAAAAAAAUGAUAUUACCUUACUAUUAGUGUUGUCCAAAACUGGUGCCAGAAGACUCGGUAAGGCCAGAGACGCAAACGUUAGUCGUCCUAAUCAGGCGUAAAGGGUAUGUAGGCUGCUUUAAAAAUAUUAUAUUUAAUAGCUCUGUAUAAAUAAUUUAUUUUUAUUUAAUAAAAAUAUUUCUAUCUUUAAACAGUAAAUAUAAAAUGAAUUAAAGCUAGAAUCAAAUUGAGGAUAAGUCAAAUAAUACUUAGUGUAGGGUUUAAAUCUGGUGAUAUUAGGUGGAGUACUAAAGGUGAAAGCUUUUUAUCUAUAAAUGAUUGACGCUGAGAAACGAAGGUGAGAAAAGAAAAUAGGAUUAGAUACCCAGAUAUCUCUCACAGUCAACGAUGAAUGGUGGUUGUUAGUUUAAUAUGACUGAUAACGAUGUUAACACGAUAACCAUUCCGCCUUGCGAGUACGGUUGCAAAACUGAAACCAAAAAAAUUAGUCGGUCUCGAAGC